UACGGGAUAAUAUAUUUGAGAGGCAUCUCUUGAAUAUCAAAGGUGAGCCAGUACAGGAUGGACCCGCGUCUGAUUAGCUAGUUGGUAAGGUAACGGCUUACCAAGGCGACGAUCAGUAGCCGACCUGAGAGGGUGAUCGGCCACAUUGGAACUGAGACACGGUCCAAACUCCUACGGGAGGCAGCAGUGGGGAAUAUUGCACAAUGGGCGAAAGCCUGAUGCAGCAACGCCGCGUGAGUGAUGAAGGCCUUCGGGUCGUAAAACUCUGUCCUCAAGGAAGAUAAGGACGGUACUUGAGGAGGAAGCCCCGGCUAACUACGUGCCAGCAGCCGCGGUAAUACGUAGGGGGCUAGCGUUAUCCGGAUUUACUGGGCGUAAAGGGUGCGUAGGCGGUCUUUCAAGGCAGGAGUGA
rnacentral:rRNA from 1 species